rnacentral:tRNA from 2 species
UGAUCAUUAGCUCAAUGGCAGAGCAUCCGGCUGUUAACCGGACGGCUGCAGGUUCGAAUCCUGCAUGAUCAG